GGGCGGGAAUUAGUCGCCGACGUAUAAUAAUACGAGUAGGACCGUUCCUUUUUGAAGACAUACAUUUUCGGAUCCAAAGACGACUCGAUUACAAAUUAUCUUGAUCGCUCGAUACUAUUUUUCGCAUUUUAUAAGGGGUGUAACUUAUUGACCCGACAGAGAAGGUAACAAAAGCGAAUUGACAAAAAAUCUGUGGUAAAUUAUUUCUUGACCGAGGAAUGCAGUGACAUAUUUCCCGACCUCCAAAAGAUCCAGCAUAUUGCGUAGUAUAGUGAUUGUGAAGGAAUGGCAAUAUUAUCCCUGAUACUUACAUCGUUUUCUAAUCUCGAGUAAUUUACUAAAUACGUUUUUAUAAACAGACCUCGAGAGUUUUUCUGAGAAAACCCAUAAAACUUGGAAUAUUUACGAGGGUCAAGUCAAGCCACCCCCGAGUGGUCGAUGAUCGAAACCAGAUGUCUUUAAGACUGUGAGAACCAAUUCUCUAAAAAUCGUCGAGUUAGAAUUAGU